UACUCCUACGGGAGGCAGCAGUAGGGAAUCUUCCGCAAUGGGCGAAAGCCUGACGGAGCAACGCCGCGUGAGUGAUGAAGGUCUUCGGAUCGUAAAACUCUGUUAUUAGGGAAGAACAUAUGUGUAAGUAACUGUGCACAUCUUGACGGUACCUAAUCAGAAAGCCACGGCUAACUACGUGCCAGCAGCCGCGGUAAUACGUAGGUGGCAAGCGUUAUCCGGAAUUAUUGGGCGUAAAGCGCGCGUAGGCGGUUUUUUAAGUCUGAUGUGAAAGCCCACGGCUCAAUCGUGGAGGGUCAUUGGAAACUGGAAAACUUGAGUGCAGAAGAGGAAAGUGGAAUUCCAUGUGUAGCGGUGAAAUGCGCAGAGAUAUGGAGGAACACCAGUGGCGAAGGCGACUUUCUGGUCUGUAACUGACGCUGAUGUGCGAAAGCGUGGGGAUCAAACAGGAUUAGAUACCCUGGUAGUCCACGCCGUAAACGAUGAGUGCUAAGUGUUAGGGGGUUUCCGCCCCUUAGUGCUGCAGCUAACGCAUUAAGCACUCCGCCUGGGGAGUACGACCGCAAGGUUGAAACUCAAAGGAAUUGACGGA
rnacentral:rRNA from 1 species